AAGGAUGGUGGUAAUACGGUGUUUUGGUUGGUUUGAGAAUGAAUGACAUCAUUUGCUGAGAUGGGGAAUAUUAAAAUGGGGGGAAUGUUUUGGGAGGAUUAGUAAAUUGGGAAGUUUGAGAUGUCUAUGAGAGGUCCAAAUGGAGAUGCUAGGCAGGUGGGGAAGAGGUUGGAGCUGGACUUUAGCUUUAAGUAUCACCAGCACAUAGAUAGUAUUUAAACCCAUGAGGCAGGAUGAGAUCACCAAGCAAGUAAUUUACAUAGGGAAGAGCUGUAGUGGCAAGAUAUCUCACUUCCCCAUGAUAACUUGGUUUCCACCUCGUGGGUGGAGCCCAGUGAUACUGACCGCAGGUUACUUCCUGGAACUCACAAAGGAUUCCACCAGCCGGCUUCAUGCUAGUCUGAGUGUCGGCUAUGUUCCUCCCUUCACUGGCCUUCUCUGAGCAUUAAUACAACUUCUUCCUUUACUGAGCCAAUGGCACCAGUAACACAGUACAGCUGUGUAUUAAGAGGAUCAACAAACCCGGAACCUAUCACAAGGAAAUUUUGUUACAGAGAAGACAGACAUAAAAAUCAGCAUCUCCCGUCACUGCUUCCAAGGUACAUGAACUCAGCUGAGUCUCCUGGAGCCUUCCUCCCUCCUGAGCUCAGGGAUUUUCAACGAAAUGGAAGAUCUAUCCAUGCCUCAACCAGCGUACUUGGCCAUCUUUACUCAGACCCACAUUUUCUAAUACUUAGAAAUAAAGAGAUCAGUGUGUUUCUCAAAUUGUGCUUGAGAAAUCAUGAACAUCAGAAUCUUAAAGGGGUGUUAUUAAAAAGGGAAAUUCCACAUUCUACUCAACCAGUCUUUGAGAAGGGGUUCUAGAAUACACAUUUCAAUAAAACACCUCAUGUGACUCUUGUUCUUGCUAAAGCUCAAGAAACCAGUCAUUUAGGUGAAGUUAGGAAGUGUGGCCUGGGAGGCCUGACAACAAGGCCAUUUUCUCCAUUUGUAGGAGUCAGGCAUCCCGUGAAGAGACCCACACUGAUACUUUGCCUAUUUUGAAAUGUCUCAGCUGUGAAGAGACUGGGCUUUGAAGCCAUAGAGACUUAAACUCAAACCUUUAGCCUUGCCAUGUAUUUGCUGUUGGGUCUUGAGCAGGUCACUCAGUCACCACGAGCCUCAGUUUCCUCCUCUGUGAAAUACAUGUGACCUCGGUAACUACCUCCAAGGGCUUGGGAAGACCAGAGGUUAAUGAUGCAGGCAGAUGCUAAUGCCCUGAGCACAAAGUGACGACGGCCUGGGAAAGUUGGCAUCUUCCUUACCACUGUCCUCUGCUCUCUGGGGACUGAAAGUGUACAUCCAGUAACGAUUUUCUUGAAAACACCAACAGUGAGGCUGUGGCAGGGUUGGUUCCUCAGUGAAACAAUGCAACUAGAAGAUAAGUCGUUGACUUAAAAUUGGGGUGCCAGAAAAUUUACUAUACAGCUAACUCAUUUUUGCUCAGGACAAAUGCUAAAAAAUGAUGGACUAUCUAGACAAUACCUGGAAACUGAUAUCCACCCACAUGAAUCAGGGAAAUGUGCCACCCCCUGCUUACAGUCCAACCUUCAUACUGCCAAGAGCCUGUCUUUGGGAUAGAAAAAUCUCAGUAUUGCACAGUUGGUCAUGUGCUGCUGGUAUCUAAAACACAUGAUCCCUCUGUUGUCCAAAUUGUAGGACAAAUCAGGGGUAACAUUAUGCCUCCAAAUUAUGCAUUAAAUAAUUUCAUUGUUUAGCAAGCUGUAUUUACCAGGAGUUACUUUUUAAAUUUAUGUCCUAUACAUAACAGAUAGCAUAAGGGAUAGGAUUACUUUCAUUAGCAGGUCACAAUUUAAUUUCUGUGACUGGAAGGUUAGGGAUGAUGCAGUGGUGAAGCAUGAGUAAAUAUUUAGGAUAGUCAUAUUAUCUGCACGCUCAUUCUGGUGCCAUCACCGGCUGGCUGUGUGAUCACAGGGAAAUUACUAAACUCCGCUGUGUCCAGUUCCGUCAGCUGCAAAAUGAGAAAAAUGCCACCUGCCCUAAGUCCCUCAGAGACUGGUAAUAAGAUCAAAUGAGAUGUCAGUGUAAGUGCUUUGAAAAGGGAUGACAAAAGAACGCUUAUUUUUAGUAAAGGAUGGAGCCUCACUUCUUCAACAGAAAGCACCCAUAUCUCCUUUCAAGCCACCAGAUAGAAU
ensembl:lincRNA